GUGGGUGAAGCUAAAUCGAAAGAGCACUGCACUCUCAAUGCAGAGAUUUGCAGGUUCAAAUCCUGUCGCCUGCGC
rnacentral:tRNA from 1 species